GUGGUGAGUUCCUUGUUAAAUAACAUGGAAAAUCCUUUGGUGGAUGGCAGUUAAAUAGGAGGUAGAAGUAAGUAUGUGGCAAUGUCUUUAUUAAAAAUUUUUUUUAAUUGUCAGAUCUACCAAAGAGCCAGUGUGAUAUGCCAGAAACAGCCCAAGACGUGGAGUAAAAGAACUGGGUUGGGGACCCAGGGUCUCCAAGGUUUAACCUUGAACAGAUCAUCCAACCUAUCUGAGCCUCCAUGAAAUGAAAGUUGUAAAGCCCACAUCACACA
rnacentral:lncRNA from 10 species